rnacentral:lncRNA from 1 species
GUUAUAAAUACGACAUGUUGAUCCGAGAAGCUCACACAACUCGAUCACCCUUCUAAGUCACUCUCGACACCAUCACGCAACCAUCACCUCUUUCACGUAACCCGCGAAUCGCCGGAGCCUGCCGGAAAGAUCAAAGUCCUCGCCGGAGUUCGAAGGGACCAUCGGAGUUCAGUCGGGGAACCAAGCUCGCCGGAGUUUUAUGACGGAAUCAACACGUCAACUCUUCGGUUAAUCACUUUUGUUCGUAUCUCUUGGAUUUUCCAUCUUUACUAGUUCGUUAUUACAAGA